GAUACCAGGGUCAAAAGGUCAUGUGUUUCAUGCUUGCAUGAAAAAACAUGACUUCUUGACCCGCAAAACAUGAGAAAGUAGCCCGAACAGGGCGGAUUUCGAAUGUUUUCAGGAUUUCGGGAGCACGAAGUGCGGAGAAAUCCGUGAUAUC
rnacentral:sRNA from 1 species